rnacentral:rRNA from 1 species
CAGCUGAUCGCACAGUCCUAGCACUGGUGACAUAUCUUUCAAGUGUCUGCCUUAUCAACUGUCGAUGGUAGUUUACAUGACUACCAUGGUUGUAACGGGUAACGGAGAAUAAGGGUUCGACUCCGGAGAGGGAGCCUGAGAAACGGCUACCACAUCCAAGGAAGGCAGCAGGCGCGCAAAUUACCCAAUCUCAGCUCGAGGAGGUAGUGACGAAAAAUAACGAGAUGGUUCUCUAUGAGGUCCAUCAUUGGAAUGGGUACAAUUUAAACCCUUUAACAAGGAUCUAUUGGAGGGCAAGUCUGGUGCCAGCAGCCGCGGUAAUUCCAGCUCCAAUAGCGUAUAUUAAAGUUGUUGCGGUUAAAAAGCUCGUAGUUGGAUCUGCGGCCUUGCAUCCUGGU